AAAAUUGUUGCUCUUUCCUCCGAAUGUUUAAUCAACAAAAGCAUGCAUCUUUUUGCUCAGGUAGCAUUCAUCUUCCUCUCCUCUUAUUUACACUUAUUUUUUACCACCUAUUUUAAUUUGAAAAUUAACCUGACAUGCUAACCUUCUUGCCUCCGAAGGUUUGCAAAAGAUGAUAUUGGACAAGGAAGUGCUUCAAUCUGAGUGGGAUCAACUUGUUGAAUUCCUUCCGGUCCUAUUGGCCAAACUUUCUCAAAUGGGGGAACUCAAGGCUCGGCUGGAGCUAAUGGAACAAAAAAAUGGUUCAUAGUUAAGAAGCCACUCAACUACAUGUCGAGCUUGUUGAGUUGAAGAUUAAAUGAGCAGAGUUGCAGGAUGUUAUUACUUCGACUGUCGAGCAUUGUCACACCCCUUUUUUACCCCUCCAAAAGAUAUGUACAAAAUGUAACGUGUUAUGGAUUGUGGGUUAAAGAGUUUUUUCAUUUGAAGUGACAAAUUUGAAAUAGGAAUUUUUUUAUUUACAGAGUCGCC
rnacentral:lncRNA from 1 species